rnacentral:rRNA from 1 species
GUGAUCAGGUAUCGGAUUACUGGGCGUAAGCGUGCGCAGGCGGUUUUGUAAGACAGGCGUGAAAUCCCCGGGCUUAACCCGGGAACUGCGCUUGUGACUGCAAGACUAGAGUACGGCAGAGGGGGGUAGAAUUCCACGUGUAGCAGUGAAAUGCGUAGAUAUGUGGAGGAAUACCGAUGGCGAAGGCAGCCCCCUGGGUCGACACUGACGCUCAUGCACGAAAGCGUGGGGAGCAAACAGGAUUAGAUACCCUGGUAGUCCACGCCCUAAACGAUGUCAACUAGGUGUUGGGGAAGGAGACUUCUUUAGUACCGCAGCUAACGCGCUAAGUUGACCGCCUGGGGAGUACGGUCGCAAGAUUAAAACUCAAAGGAAUUGACGGGGACCCGCACAAGCGGUGGAUUAUGUGGAUUAAUUCGAUGCAACGCGAAAAACCUUACCUACCCUUGACAUGUCAGGAAGAUUGCAGAGAUGCGAUUGUGCCCGAAAGGGAACCUGAACACAGGUGCUGCAUGGCUGUCGUCAGCUCGUGUCGUGAGAUGUUGGGUUAAGUCCCGCAACGAGCGCAACCCUUGUCAUUAAUUGCCAUCAUUCGGUUGGGCACUUUAAUGAGACUGCCGGUGAUAAACCGGAGGAAGGUGGGGAUGACGUCAAGUCCUCAUGGCCCUUAUGGGUAGGGCUUCACACGUAAUACAAUGGUCGGUACAGAGGGUCGCCAACCCGCGAGGGGGAGCCAAUCUCAGAAAGCCGAUCGUAGUCCGGAUCGGAGUCUGCAACUCGACUCCGUGAAGUCGGAAUCGCUAGUAAUCGCGGAUCAGCAUGUCGCGGUGAAUACGUUCCCGGGUCUUGUACACACCGCCCGUCACACCAUGGGAGUGGAAUCUGGCAGAAGUAGUAGCCUAACCGCAAGAGGGCGCUUACCACGCUGGGAAUCGAAUUCCCGCGCG